rnacentral:rRNA from 1 species
AUUGAACGCUGGCGGCAGGCCUAACACAUGCAAGUCGAGCGGAGCGUCUGACGGAUGAGUAAGGCCUAUUAAUCUGCCUCCUCGUGAGGGAUAACGUCCGGCAACGGGCGCUCCUCCCGCAUACUAUCAGAUGAGCCUAGGUCGGAUUCGCUAGUUGGUGGGGUAAAGGACUACAAAGGCGACGAUCCGUAACUUGUCUGAGAGGAUGAUCAGUCACACUGGAACUUAGACACGGUCCAGACUCCUACGGGAGGCAGCAGUGGGGAAUAUUGGACAAGGGGCGAAAGCCUGAGCCAGCCAGGAGGCGUGUGUGAAGAAGGUCUUCGGAUUGUAAAGCACUUUAAGUUGGGAGGCGUUACCAACAGAAUAAGCACCGGCUAACUUCGUGCCAGCAGCCGCGGUAAUUC